CAAAGUGCACGAAUAUACUGUACAUUCCUUUGAAUUGGCGAGCUGGAGCUAAAAAUCAUCAAAUUAAACACCUGAAUGGUGUCAUGAGUGAUAGAUAAACGGAUUGAGUUCUCUUGGAAGUCAUUCAUGAGCAGGAAACAUUCCCAUUAUUGUCAAGUUUGUAUCCAUUUCGAAUUCCCAUGCCUUGAGGACAUCUCUCAAGGCACAAAGAAUCUUGUUUCACCCCAAGUCAACGACUUUCAGGCCAUCCAGCGGAGCAUCUACCAUCAUAUCAUCUAUUGGAAGAGCCUUUCAGGUAUCUCUUGUCCACGUCCAAAAGUGAGGGGACUCACUUCUACGGUAUGCUGGAGAGGUGUAUGCCUCCAUGUGCGUGAAGAUCCAUCCACACUCUCGAUCGAGUACGUGCCGGCACGUUAUGUGAGCAACAACCAUUGGUUGGUUGACUUGACGGGCUGGUUAGAAUACCAUCAUGUAUCAAGCCCACCUCUACAGGCAGGCCAGGUGAUUUUUAAAUCCAACAAUUUACAACGAAUAUUGUCCGAGGUAUAAGGGAGAGUGUGUGUGUGUAUGAGUGUGUUGUUGAUGUGGUAGUCGUUGCAUCACAACAACAGUCUUUGGAGGUUUUAAUCAAACAGGUGCCACACCUACCAAUACAAAAACACACAAUAGCAACAACCAAGGGAAGAAUGAACCCAAAAGGUGGCAGUGACUAAUAAUCGUGCCUCUAUUGAACGAAUACGAGUGACCUGAAUUGUGAUUUGGAAAUCGGUGAAGAGUUCAAGGCCGUUGAGGCAUGACCCUGAGAGCCCACUAACCAACUCAAAGUGCAUCAAAAUGUCACGUUUCGACAGCAGUGAUCCCAACGAUCGGUUUCGACCCUUUGAUCCCACACUCACCAACCCAGACUAUGAAGACUUCGAGGAGCUCCACCCACCCAUAGAGUAUGAGCUGGAAGCCAUUGAUUGGGCCACCAUGAUCUCACGGGGAGUGGUGAUCCUCAUCUUCCUUAUCGCCUACAUCCUAGUUUUUGUGAAUGUGGCUCGAGGCAAAAAGCUCAAAAAUUGGCGGCUCUACUCGCUCGUGGCCUUGACCUUGUUCUGUUGGCUCUCCAUGGCCUUUUACCAAGAUCACAUUGACGAGUACUUUGUGCACAAAGUCACGCUGUUCCCGGCACCGAGAUCGAUCUAUUGGUGUGUGAGGAAUCUGCUCCAUGGGAUCACGUUGUACAUGAUAGUUCUUCUUUUGUGUCAUCUCUCGGACUUCCAACAUCGCGGGAUCUGGAUUCUGUUCGUGAGCAUGGUGGUGUGUGUCCCCCUGUUCUAUUCCAUUGCAGUUCUCAUCAUUGAUCUCCGAGUUCCCGAGCAAUCUCGGCGGAGUUGGGAGUGGAACAUUGGCAUUGCAGCCACCAAAACCUUUCUCUACAACUUGCUCACGUCGAUCAUUCUCUUCGUGUUCACCAUAAGGUUUUGUACGAGCCGGCUCUAUGGGACUUACGAAGAACGAAGAAGCACAUUGGUGGUGGUCGUGUCCAGAUGGGUGUUUGUCUUCUUUAUUCUUCACAAUCUCAUUGCCAUUGCUUCUUUUGGCACUUCGGUAGCCAUUCGAGUCCCUGGCCUCUUAGAUAACCUUCACCCGGCCACCUUAGCUCACCGGAUCCUGGACGAAUUGGCCUUCCUCAUCAUCGUGCUGGCCAUUCCCGUGUCUUACUUGUUCGGUGUCCUUUGUUCGGGAUGCUGCGGCAGGGGACGACAAAGGGAAGUGGAAAUGGACAAGAUGGACAAAAUCUACCAAGAGGUGUGGUCCACUAAUGGGAAUCAACCCAGAAAGGGCCGCAACGGCUCCGUGAUCACGAAUUCAACCCAAGUGAAUACUGAUCCGGCGGCACCCAGAUCUAAUCGAUCCACACACAUGGGCAGCCAACUUAAUGUGGGAUCAUCCACCUCGAUGGCGGGCUCUGUCAAUGGAUCCAUGGGAGGGUCUAAUCUCUCCAUUAAUCGCAGAGAGAACAAUGCCGAGCUGACCACCAGUGAAAAGCGCAAGAAACGCGAGUCUUACCUGGAGGCCAUGUCCAUGGGAAGUAUUGACGAGAGGACCUCGGGCAGGUCUUCGGUCACAAGUGAGCCUAUUGAUUUGUGAGCUUCAUGUCUGGUCCAAAUGCAAGCAAGUCUGAUCAAAAGAACAAAACAUAUAUCCUUGAACAUACUCAAUAUGUGAGCGUUUUACAGAAAUAACAUGUACACGAUUUGAGAAAACAAAUACAUGUCACCCCACCAAUCCUACUAAUAAUGUUGUGAGGGUGGAUUUUGAAUUUGCAGCCACUAACUUUGCACAUAUAAAUCUUGUUCCAAAACUAUGGGAACGAUAAUGCCCUCAAAGCCACAAAAGCCGAAAGGCAACGACUACUCCGGAUCUCCAAAAAGUGACGCAAAAUGAGGUUCUGGUCAAGGAAUUCUAUCGGCUAUUGCAAAUGAUUAACUGAAAAAUGGAUGCGUUGAUUGAGAAGACACAGGCUAAACUGCUUUGACAUGGCUGUUUGUUCAGAUGUCAUUAAUGCAUUGGGAUAAAAUGAUAAUAUGUACCUGUUAUCAACUAAGAGCCAUCAACAAUGAAAACAUGCAAUACAUAAUCUCGAUUCAAGAGACAGACUCAAGGCUCUUGUUUUGGAUUUGCGAGUUUAACUGCCAAUUUUUUACCGUUGUGCAGAGAUGCCAGUUGAUUUAUUUCAUCUAAAAAACAGCCCAAAAAAAAAACCGUAGCAAAUAAUGGACUUUCCUAUAUUUAUAGAAUACGCGCAAUAAAUUGUUUUAGCACUAAAAUGUUUCCAUUGACAGGAAGUAAUUACUGACUACUGGAGAUUAAUAGCUUACCUUUUAAGAGGUAUAUGUAGGUAGUUUGUACACUUACAUUC